GGAGGGAUGGCAGAGCGGUUGAAUGCACCGGUCUUGAAAACCGGCAAGGGUGAAAGCCCUUCCAGGGUUCGAAUCCCUGUCCCUCCG
rnacentral:tRNA from 2 species